rnacentral:rRNA from 1 species
GCCCUAGCUUGCUAGGUGUCCUUAGUGGCGCACGGGUGAGUAACACGUGGGAACAUACCUCAUAGUACGGAAUAACUGCGGGAAACUGUAGCUAAUACCGUAUAUUCCAGUAAUGGGAAAGAUUUAUCGCUAUGAGAUUGGCCCGCGCAAGAUUAGCUUGUUGGUAAGGUAAUGGCUUACCAAGGCUCCGAUCAGUAGCUGGUCUGAGAGGAUGAUCAGCCACACUGGGACUGAGACACGGCCCAGACUCC